rnacentral:misc_RNA from 1 species
CUGAUUUUUGCCGAGGUAGGUUGAGUCUUUCGGGACUCCCUACUAAAGCGAAUACACCACUUGUGCACUAAAAAUGUCUUUUGGGUCAUUGGGAAAUUAUCUUAAAAAGAUUGAUUAACCGGGGCCCAGAUUUUUAUAAACCAAUUAAUUUUUUGUCUGAAAUAAAUCUAGUAAUAGAAA